UACGUAGGUGGCAAGCGUUGUCCGGAUUUACUGGGCGUAAAGAGCGCGCAGGCGGUCAAGUAAGUCGAAUGUGAAAGCCCCCGGCUCAACUGGGGAGGGUCAUUCGAUACUGCUCGACUUGAAGGUAGGAGAGAGAAGCAGAAUUCCCGGUGUAGUGGUGAAAUGCGUAGAUAUCAGGAGGAACACCUGAGGCGAAGGCGGGUUGCUAGGCUGAUACUGACGCUGAGGCGCGAAAGCUAGGGUAGCAAACGGG
rnacentral:rRNA from 1 species